UCCUUUUUUUUUUUUUUUUUCUUUUUUUGGCCUGCUAUUUCUCAGCAACCAAACGGAUGGUCAUCACUCGUGAAUAAAUUGAACCAUCCACCACGCAUAACUAGAAAACUAAAGGAACAAAAUCCUAUCACCCAGUACGCUUAUACGGAGAAGCAAGUUAAUACAACCAGUUUCAGACAAAACUAAACACGGAGUCAAAGUUAUUCAAUUACUAUUAGCGUCAACAUCUCUUCAAUAUCUCCAAAGCAAUAAAUGGGCAUAUAAAGAUGUAAGUUUUAAAUCUAAAUAAAAAGCAACACAGAAACCAAAACCAGAUAACAGAACAUCCAUUAUACAGCAAAAGGUUAAGGAUUUCAUACCAAGAAAAAGGCAGCAAAAGGUCCGGUUCUGUGCAUACUCUUCUUAGAACAUGGGGUACUCAAAUAUUUUGGACCAAAAUAUAUAUAAAAAAAAAAAGAAAGAAAAAUGAAAAAUAUGGGUGGGAGGGAGGGGAUAGUUAGUUUCUUGUAAGGUUGCAGUAAAGAAGAAGCAAAAGACCGGUCCUUUUUCUUAUUUUAAUUACAUUUUGAGACGGCGAGAAAAUUAUAAAAGGUAGUUGAGAAAUGUAUGAGUCAGUCAGUUUUAUGGCCCAGUUGCCAGCCUCAAUUUUUUUUUUUUUUUUCUAACAAGAGAUGCAACUCAAAGUCUCAUUUUUCUCACACCAAUCAGUGACCCGCCCAACAGCUGAGUUUGUGUUAUGUGUUUCGCCGUGUGUGUUGGUCUGGUCUCCCUCUUUGUUUUGAAUAUUUCAACAAAAAGAUGCUUAUUUUGACAGCACAACAAACUAGUUUUGAUUAAGAUAGGUUGCUUAUCUGAAUCUGUAAUAAUGUUUCUCAUAUGCUUCUUCUUUUCUUUUUUUUUUUCUUUUUUCUUCCUUGUUUUUAACUAAAAAUGGAAAAUAGUUUCUCAAUGGUGGUAGUAUUAUUAGUGUAUAUAAAAUAUGGAACAAAAAGAGAUUUCAGUUGUUCAAUUUUUCUCAUUUCAUGGCUGAUUAUUGGGGAGUUGGGGGAUGGUGUGGGUGCUUCAUGGGCUUACUUUUGUAAAUUACAAUCCGCUUUAAUGAUUUUGUGGGCCGUUGAUUAGUUUGGAUUUGAUUUGGUACAGAGGACUUGAUAGAUGGAAAAUAAUUGGAGUGCUAAAUCCUUAUAUCACAUCUUAGGCUCUUUUGAAUUUUUUUUUUUUUUUAAAAAGAUAAAUAAAUUGGCAGAAGGUGAUGGGCUUGGUAGUAAAUGGGUAACGGCUGUUAAUGGUUGAAUAACUGAUUUGAUACAAACCGUUGAAAUUGAGAGAUGAUUCGGUGGCUCGAUCCAGAUUCCAGACGUUAAAAAGAUGGACAAAACUACGUUACAGAAUCUGUAAGGUACAGACUGCAGCAUCAGCCGUUGGAUGUGGUUGGAUGUGGAGUGAGAAACUAAACAAAAGAAAAUCGGAUGGUGGGAUGACGGGAGAUGUUUGUUACAGAAUCUGUAACAUAGACAGGUCCUAAAAAGAUAGAGGUCGAUUGUUCUAAUGUCAGAACGGAAAUUUGUCAAAACUUGGUCCCGGCGGGGCUCGAACCCGCGACCUUCGGCUCAUAAGACCAACGCUCUAACCAACUGAGCUACGGGACCUGUCAGCAAAACUUCCCACGUUAUCUUAUUUAACAUAUAAUUAGUGCCUUUAUUUAUACCAAUUUCUCGAAUUAAAAAUAAAUUAUUGCCUUGACUUUUGGGCUCUCAAACUUGGCCCUCCGUCAAUUCAGUCAUUAUCAGUGGUCGCAUUUCAAAAAAAUUAAAAAAAGAAAAAGAUUAUCAAUUGCAUAGAAAAAAAUAUAUAUAUGAAUAAUGAUGUGUGCACCGAAAAGGAGUAUAAAAAUUAGUACAAAAAUUAUAAGCGCUAACAAACAUAAAUAAAUUUGUCUUGUAUUGAAAAUUUUUUAGAAUGGCGGUGUAUUAUUUUCAGUGUUAAUUCUUAUGCAACUAUUACUACUGAAAAAAUCUUAUAUAAAAACUUGACUGUAUUCAAUAGAUUCCAAAAUUACAUCCUUUUCAAUAACUAGUUACUAGGCUCAAAAAGGGAAAAAAAAUAAACCUAGUUAUUAAUCAGUUUAAAAGUUUUUAUUAUAAUUAUCAACCACAAUGACCCACUUAAUAAUCAACCACGAAAUGCGAAGCGUAGUUAAUGAAAAAUGCCACAAUCUUGUAGUCCCACUUAAUAAUCAACCUUGGAAUUGUUUCCAUAAUAAAGGAUCAUUCUUCUCUUAUUUUUAUUCUGGUUGAAACUACUUUGCUGAUAUUAAUAUUUUUCCUCGAUUAUAUAUGCAUGCAAUUAUCAAGUUGCAGGUAAUAUCAUGAUCAUCAACUCCCCACCCAAGCAUAAGAUCCAUCUUAUUUCUUAAUAAUGACAAGAGAGAGCUGCCCCAAUAAUAGUAACUCUUUAGAAAUUGAGAAGUAAUGAGUCUUCCAUUAUCGCCGAUAUAGUAUAACCAAUUGAUCAUUCAAAUUUCCUUAAUCACACACAUAUUUUUUUUUUGGGUUUAAUUUCAACAUCAGUGUCGUGAUCAUGACUGAUUGACUUGACUCCCUAACUCAUAUAAUGGCAAAUUACAUAGCAUUAUAUGAUGCCAAUAUCAUAAGAAAUUGCAGAUUAAGCCAAUAUUAUCAUCUACGAGACUCCAUCACCAUAAAUACGGGGACAUUUUAUGUAUCAAAACCCAAAUCCCAUAACCCAUUGUAAUUUGCAUAAUCUAGGAACCAAAAACCUACCACUAAAAUGUUAAAAAAAAAGAAAAAAAAAUUGAAAUCCAACAAAAUGCAUGCGAUGAUCAUAAACAAGUGAUGGCUGUUAUUAGAUAACAUAAUCAGAUUACUCAGACUCCGUUUGAUAUAACUUUUCAAGUAGAGCUUUUGGUAACAGAGUUUUUACCUAAAAAAUUUUAGUUGUUUGGUUAUCAAUAAGAACUUUUAUUACAAAUUUAUGAAAUUACUUGAAUAGGUAAAUUUUUUAAAAUUACGUUAUGAAAAAAUAAAAUAAGAUAAUCAAAUAAAUAGAGAAUAUUUUAGAUAUUUGAACAUUUAAAAAAAAAACUUUUAAACCUCUACUCUUAAAAACUUAAAAUUUGAGUUUUUACUAGUAGAGGUAAAAUAGCUUAUUUAAGAUUUAAAAACUUUACUAGAAAAACAACCAAACAACAACAAAAAUUAUGAUAGAGCUUAUGUGAUUAAAUAAACACUUAUAACCAUUAGAUAAAUUAUAUCAAAUAAGCACUUAAUUAGUGUGUGCAAAGAUUUAUAUUAUAAUCUAUGAUGGUGCGAGAACAUAAAAGAUUAAUAAACUAUAGAGAAACAAAGUUUUUGAUAAUCAAAACUAGAGUUUUAAGUUCUUUUUAUACUAAUUUUAAAUAUUGUAGAUUUAUCAAAAUAAUUAAACUUGAAAUAUUAUUUUGUAAUAAGAUUCUCCUAAUAUAAAAACAAAACAAAAAAAAUGACACCUAAAAUCCGAAAUAAAAAAAAAAGAUAAAAAUCCCAAAGACAAUAAGGAAAAUAGCAAAAUAACUUAAAAUUGCAAAACAAUCAAGAAAGAAAUAGAAUUUUCAAGCUUGAUCUCAAAGUUUUGUCUCAUCACAAGCCUUGAAAUAGUAUAUAAUAUACCCAAAACAAAUAAUUGUAACAUAAACUAUGAUCCCUGAAAAGUACCUUCCUCAUCCUAUCCAACCAUCUCACAUCAAUCUAUCUAAUACUUUUGAUAUGAUUAUAUUAAAAACCAAUGAAAUUCUACAAGUAUUUUAAAAAUCAUAACCAAUGUCGUAUUAUUAAUUAGAUUCAAAGCCUGGCAUUCUCAUUGUGUUUAAGUGAGGAUGGAUACUAAAAUACAAAAAAUAUUUUUUUUAAUACAUUAGAGACGGUAUUUUUUUUGUUAGUUAGUAACAUUUUUCUUUGUUAAAAUGAAUAUAUUAUUAAUAGAAUAAUUAUAUAUGUGUGUAUAUCCUCUUACUCGGCAAAUAUCUCUCACGACACAAACACAUUACAACUUUGUUCUUUUUUUUUUUUUUUUUUUGCUUCAAUUUUCUUUGUCCGAAGAAGACGUUGCAUGUAAUGUUCGCUCAAGUUAUGAAGAAUUAACUAAAGCUGGAUGUUUCCAUGAAAUUGCACCAGAAAAUGAUGCCCAUCUGACAAGUCAAGUAUGCUUGUACGACUUUUGUGCAGCAAUCAUAAUAUUCUCUUCAUCUAUGUAGAAUAUUUGGUGGUCAGUGCUAGCUGCAUCAAGUAAUUUUUCAAACGAAAAGAGAAGAAAAGAAAAGACUUCAAGCAGUUUGUCAAGGCCAUGCAUUCACAUGGCAUGACUCUGGCUUUGAAAAAUUACCCAGCAAUAUUUUGAACGAAUCUUGAAUUAGCUAAAUGCGGCAUGUAUUUCCUUCUUGGCACAUGUUUUAGGCUAACUGAUUAUCAUUAAAGUAAUGCAUACGUCCUUGCAGAGUCUAUCCCGAGUUUUAAAACAAAACAAAGCCUUCCUGCUAUCAAAUUUUGAUCAAUUUCAGACUCAGUUGCCCGGAAUUGAAGAGCGCAUAUUAUAGCCUUUAGUUCGCGAAGUUUAAUAUUUAGCACAUUAAUUAUGAUAUAAGUGUCCCCUUCGUAUAUAUAGAGAGAUUAAGAUAAUAGUCUCCUAACCCAUGUGACUGUAUAAUCAAUUAAUAUUACACAUUCCAUAGAACAAAAUAUUCGGAUAUAAUCUUGUUUAAAAAGAUUUAUAAUUAAAAAAGCUGGUAAAUGUUGACAAAAGAUUUGAUUUAGUUUAAAUUUAAAACAUGAAAUCUUUUAGCUCUUUCUCAAAUCUAAUUAAGAGUAAUAACAAUGUAGAUUGGUUACCUUAAGGAACUAUAUUAGAGGAUAUCUUCAAAGAUAUGCUCACAUUGAUUUUGCCAACCUGGAGAUUGCUUUAUGAAAUGAGUCUUUCCUUUCAUCCACUCAUUAAUUACCAUAAAUUCACCAUUGCGCAUUUAUAUUUUGCUCAUUGAUAGAAAACUCCCCAUCAAUUCACUACCAAGUAUAUAUAUAUAAUAAGCUGUUGUUUGUCUGUAGGAUUGUACCAAUGAGACUAAAGCUGAAACGAUAUAAAUCAAUCACGUAUAUACCUAAUCAAAUUUGAUGCCCUUCUAAAUAAUGCAUUAAUUUAAUAAUGUUUUUAUUACUGAUAAAAACCGUUUUCAAAUGGUUAAAAAAUGUGUUUACACCCAAUCCACUCUCAUUGUUUGAUUGAAAUAAAUAAUAUAUAUAUAUAUAUACAUACACAUAUACACACACAUAUAUAAAAUUUUCUUUUUCCAAGUGGUGGGGUCCAUAACCAACUCCGUAAACUACAUGCAGUGAGGUGAUUCAAUGGUAUAAGAAAAGAACAAAGAACUGGCUUAUGAAAAUGGCAAAAAAUCUCCUGAGAUUUUAAGACACAUAUUAAUGCAUGUCGAGACAUAGAACAUACAUGUUACAGUUCUAACUUCGAAUGGUCUGAAAGACCACUAGAUGUUGGUGAUGGUGGUGGUGAAAUUUUCUCAUAUUGAGGAGGAUUUUGAAAUAGUAUUGCUUUGCUAGGAGUUUAAUCUUCAGAGCCCCUGGAAGUUGUUAUAUAAUUUUCUUUUCUUUUCUUUUCAGACAAACAAAAAAAAUUUCUGAGAAAAUCCCGGAAAGCAGUAGAUACUUUCUCUCUCUCUCUCUCUCGCGAAUAUCUUUAUGAGCUGAAAAUAAGGAAGGACUUUCCUUAAAUUCAAUUUCAUAUUUCGUACGUAUAGGUGGCUGGUUUCAACUCCACAUCAUUUCAGAUUUCCUUUCCUUGUAUCCCGGUUUUUGAAUUGAUUCUUGUUACUUGUUUUAGAUUUUGUGAUCUUGAAAAUUGGGAUUCUUGUUAUUUUUCUGAAUUCUCUCAUCUCGCCUAUCAUCAAUUUGAGUUAAAUUUGCUUCAAAUUAUAAAGUUAAUUAGAUUUAUUAUUAGCUUACAUCACAACAAGGCACAUACGUAAUUAACAACAAUACAGGAAACGAGAACAAAAUUAAUAUAAGAAAAAUCAUUAUGUGCAGCAACACAGGCAGUGCUAGUAGUGCAGGUGUUAGUGGUAGUGGCGGUGGUGAUGAUAAUGCAACUCAUAUUUUGAAGAAACCAAAGCGUCAGAGAGUUCCCAAAAGAGGACCGGGAGUUGCAGAACUUGAGAAGAUCUUGAGAGAACAAGAAAAUAAAGUUAUUCAUCCUGACAAAGGCAAGCCCUAAAGCCUAAUGCCUAAAGAUUUCUCUCUCUUUUUGUUUUUUUUAUUCGUCUGUGAUAUAUAAUAAUUAAUCUAUUCCAUUAUUUUUGUAUUUUUAACAGGAAAUAGUAUUGUUCAGUUUGUCUCGGAUCAUCAUAAUAAUAAUAAUCGCUUUAGUCCUCCUCCACCGCCGCAAAAGACCGUGCUUCAUGGUAAUAAAAGUACAUCCUCAGGCAGAGGCAGCAAUGGCGUCCGAAUUGCUGGAUCAGGCAUAAUUUUGCCUGAAGAAGCCCUGUUGCCCACAGUGUGGAAUUCUUGCGAAUCAAGCAUUUAUGAGGAAGCUUCUAAGAUCCCAGCUGGGUAUCCAAUUUCUACGAGCAGUUUUGUACAUGGUUCAGAUCAAAUGCAUAUGCUUCAAGAGAAACACUCUCACUAUCAUCAAUACUCUUCUCCCACGGUAUAAUUCCAGCUUUUAAUUUGUUUUAUGAUAAUGUUUUAGCUUUAGUUCUUUCUUUUUAUGAGAUAUAUGGAUUGUCUAAUUAAUAAUGUAUUUGUGAAAGCAGAUAAAUCUUUUCCCACAAUCUGGAUCAUCAUCAUCAGAAAACCAAUCAGCAGGAUUUUAUGUCCAUGUAGAGCCCCCUUCAAACCAAAGAUCAUCAUCGCAUCACAACCACUACUGCUCAUCUCUGAUCUUGCCAGAGGAAGAAAAGGUCUAAAAGACUCAUGUUUUUAGUCAUGUUUCUCUCUCUUUUUUUAAGACAAUUUUUUUUAAUACUUGCAAACAGUGUUGAGUCCUUUCACUUUUUUUCUUUUUUCUUUUUUUCAGAUUUUUUUUUUAAACUUUGAGUGCUGUUUUUUGCUCAUCGAUUGGGGAAAGAAAAAUAAUUAAAAGAGAUAUAUAUAUAUUCAGUUUCCUUCACAAAAAUUCUUUCUUUCAAAUAUUUUUCUUUAUUUUUCUGUUGAACCAAAUAAAGAUUUGAGUUUCGUUGGCAGUAAUUUUGAUUUGUCUUGCUCUAAUUAAUUACUUUAUAAAUUAAUUAUUGUUUGGAUGAAAAAUGAAAUUCAUCAUCUUAUUAAUCACAAAUACAUACAAAUCGAUUUUAGAUGGCUGGAACAAAGCGGCCAAGGACAUUCUCCACAGGCUCAGCUCCUGCUCCAAUAUUCCACUGCCAAGCUUCUUCUCCUUUCACUACUGCCAUGCACACGCUAACGCCCUCUUUUCCCAAUCACACUACUAGUUCUGUACUUAACCUUCAACAAGAUGAAACACUUUCGAGGUAAUUACGUUUGCUUACGUAAUUGAUUCAUUCAAUUAUUUAUGUAUUUAAUUUAUUAAUUCCUGAUCAGCAGGGACUAUGGAGCAAUGAAUGGCAAUUUUCUUUUAUUUGGUUCUCCGGCAACUCCAUCCUCGUUCAUGAUGACUCAAAAUUCUCAACAAGAUUUGUCCAAAUAUCACUCGUUACCUUUCCAAGUAAGCAUAUGUUACAAGAAUUAUUCAUUAUCUUUUUCUUUUUCUUUUUUAUUUUGCAAUUUGGCAUAUAUGGUGUUCGUGUAAUAUUAUAUAAUAUCUAUUUGUAUUGGUUUAGAGUUGUGUUACGAAGGAAAGCGGUAUGGAUGGCUCAGACUCAGACUCACACCAAAAGAAGAAGCCCUUCUACAGCUUCUUAAUACCAGAAGAGCAGUUGAGAGAGGAAGAAACAACACUUAGCUUAAACAACGAGAAACCAAGAAGGGAAACUAUUGAUCUUAACCUAAAGCUGUAACACUCUGCAGCAAAGCUCAUUCAACGCUCAUAUGAUUUAUCAUCACAAGUUUAUAAUUAAUUUGGGAGCAUUCUGUUUCCAUCUCAAGUACCUGUUGCAGCAAAAAGAAAUCGAUAUUCAUGCAAGACUCCGUCAGCCGCCCCGGCAAUUUACGCAGAAAGUGAAGAUGUUAUGUAUAUGACUUGUGGUAUGGUAGUAAGUCUAGUUCUAGUAUUCAGGUCGGAAAAUAUUUCUUUGGUUUGUUUCUGCAACGCACUCCGUGCGUUAGUUUUUCAAAUGUGGAUUCUGCGAUGAACAAGAAAACUAACUCUAAUUCUUACUUCAUUCGAGUACAAAUCAAAAUUGUCAUUUACAAUUUGAGCUAUGUUUUUCAUAACAAGUUUUUAUCCUAUUAAGCACUGCCUGACUGUAGAUCAGUUUGACUUGGAUAAAUCUCAGAUGCCUAUGACCAUAUGUAAUACAGUAUCUUCUUCCAUUACAAGUUAACCAACUACACAUUAAUAUAGGAGAAAUUUGUCACCUCAACUUGUUGCAGAGGCUUACACUUCUUUCCCCCACACAUUCUUCCCCUUUUCUUGUCCGUACAAUCGUCUUUGAUCUUUUCAUAUGCACAUUCUGCACUUCUGUGUUCAUCUUAACUUUGAAUUGCUUGGAAUAGAAAAAAAAAUUGAAGCUAAAGAAUGAAAAAUAAAUGCGCGUAAUCUCAAAACUGGUUAAAAGUAGUCAGCCUAGUUGAACUGUGAAAUAAAGGUUAGUAUGAUCAAAUAAAUGAUAAAUUGAUUAUAGAUAUGUACAGGAGAUUUAAAAAAAAAACAAAAUUGGGAUGCGGUUACGCUAAUAGAAUUCCUCACAAUCCCAAUACAGAAUAAGUUUAUAAAGCCUCAUUAGUGAAUGGGAUUGAGUCGAUGCUGCUGGUAAAAGUGUGGAGCAACCUCUAGCAGCCAGGAAGGAUCAAUGGAGAUAACAUUGCGCAUGUACUGUCGGUCAGUUGAAACCAGGGAAUGAUAUAUAACCCACUUUGGAUUAACCCUGCAAAUCCAAAAUUAAAAGAUAUAAUAUCAAAGAUACAGCAUUUGUUUAGUUAAUUAAUGUCCACAACCAUAAGAAAUGGGCAAAAGCCACCGACAUUCUAAGAAACAAUUAUAAAAUAAUGUAUGACAUUCUAAGAAAUAACUAUAAAAUAACGAAUUAACAUUUGAUCUUUAUUGAAAUAUAUCCUCGAGGAGCACAGGUCUCCCGAAGUUGACUGUAUGAAUUUAUAUUUUAAUCUAAGAUCCUUGCUUGUAAACAUACUCUGAUAAAAUCCAGAUUACUUUAAAAUAUCAAUCCAUUCUGUACACUGACCUGAACAACACCGAUGAUGGAUGAAUAUAAACUUCUUGGGAACCUCUCACAGUCUUGUACAUUCCACUCUGACUAUAAGCCUUCAAACAAGAUAAACAAACAGAUUCAAUUAAAACAUCAAUGUAAGAAAAAUUCCUGGAAGCCACUUUCAUUUAACUAGUGAAUUAUCAACAAGAAGAGGGUGGAAGGCUAUAAUAUAUUUGUACUGCUAAAACACUAGGUGUACUUAUAAAAAUAGCGGCAAUUAAGUUACUCACUUCUGAGUAGCAUGCAUUAGCAAAAAACCCAGCAGUAACUGCCUUUCGUACAACCUACAAGACAUAAAUAGUAGAAGUCAUAUUGUGUAGAACAGAGCAAAGCAGGUGGGCAAAUAACAUUUCAAAUUUUUCUCAAUUUUUCUCACAUUCAGCAAUAAGAAAUGAGGUAAAGCAAAGAGAGUACAAUGCACUCUUGCUUUUAAGAACUUGGCCUUGGCCUAUAUAAUUACUGACUUAAUUAUAUUGCAGCAGAUUUCAACUAAUUCUAACUUUUCAUGAUAGUGGCACACAUUUGUUCUUCAUUGAUCAGUGAAUCUGCCAGUACAAACGCACAAUACUGGGGAACAGGUUACAUGAUAUACAAAUGAGCAACCAGCAGAUGGCAUGCAUGUCCCCAUUAACUUUGGAAAAUCAUAAAGUGUUGAAAUUCUCUCUAAGCACACCAGUAAAAGUGUCAAAAGACUUACUUGCAUGUCACUCUCACAAGAUUUCAUCACUAUGCCAAUUCUUUGUGCAAUUCUUCGGAGUUGUUCUCUAAUUUCAAUUACUUUUUUCUGCAAUACCAAAAACAAGUGAAAUUCACAUAAACAUGAGUAAUAUAUUAUCUAUAUGCAACAGAUAAUUGUAUCUCAACAGGAAUAAAGCUAUGAAAACAAGAGUUAGUGGUGGAAGCCCAAAAAAUGAUAAAAGGAAAAGUCAACUAUUUCUUAAAAUGUUUAAAGCAUCCAAAUUAAGUUACGUACCAUAGCAUGGUAGUUUAUGAAGUUCUUAUGACACCAAUGUGAAGAUUUGCAAGACUGAAGAAAACCUUUGUAAAUAUUUAGGAAUGUCACAUGGUCACCCUGCAGGUAUGAAAAAAUAAUCGAUAAGCUACAGAAAAAAUUAUAAAUGGCACUUGAAUUUUUUUUUUUCCUGUCUCAGUAGGCAAAGAAUAGUUGAUCAAAUAUAUAUAUAGCACUCUUAAAAUAUUUUAAGACCCCUAAAAUCAGAUCAUAUGGAGACACUGAAUCUUCAUUUUCAGAUGAUGUAAAAAAGUUUGAGUGAAUUUCGAGUGAACUUAAGACCGACCAUAAAGUCAAUAGAACAGAAUAGACGAGGUUGGUAAAAUUCAUAAGGCCAACAAGCAUACACACUUCAGUGCUAGAUCUAAUCACUGAUUGGUGCAGCCACGUCAAAGAUAAAACUCAAGUUAAAAUGAAGAUGAAAUCUAUUUAAGAUUUGUAAAUAUUCAAACCAAUUUAAGUUUCAGUCAAGUACCUCUGCAGCAGCAAACCUCAACUUGGCUUCAUCCAGUUCCUUUUGUGCUCCCCUCCCAGAAACCCAAAUAGACUGUAAAGAACAGCAUUUUAGUACAAACUAGAACUCAGCUGGAUGGUUUAAAUUUUUAUAAUUAGGUUAGUCGAAUAAUUCUGUAAGCUAGAACUCACAAUAGCUUAUCUUUAUUGUGUUACUAUAGAUAAUUUAUAAUAGGCUGUAUCUUAUGGUAGAAGCUUUUUAUCAGGCUAGUUACUGUUCUGCUUUCUUUUUGUUGAAUUUAAGACAAAGUUUAAAUGACUUGCACAAGGGAGUAAUAGAAGAAAGUUUACUUGGAUUGAGAGAACUGCAGAAAUGGUUAUAAUCUCCUCUGAACAUCCAAGUUCAUUCGAAGACAAGAUCAUUUUAGAGAUCAUUGGUUCCUACAAAGCAAUCAGAUUCAAAAUAAGCAAUCAAAAACUUCAACUUAGAUAAUGAAACAUCAUGAGACAGAGGUCAAAACAUAUCUAGCAAAAUGAGUCCAACGAUGAACUCCUUCAAAGAUAAGUCAAUGGUCAACCAGAACAUCAUUAAAAAAAUAAUAAUCAAAAGAUCUUGCAGGAAAGAGAAAACAUCAAUGAAGUCAGUUUAUUAAAACGAUUGAAUUGCUGUGCUUAGUCCACUGAUCCUAUGUUGGUUUGGAAAAAUAGAUUGAAAUCAAAUGCAUUAAGUAAAAAAAAAAACAAGAAAAAAAAAGAGGAACAGUUAUAGUACACAAAGAGGAAAGCACCCAGUCUUAAGGUACAGAUGCUGGUUUUUUCAAAAAAGUUUUAAUUGCCUUAGUAACAUAAGUUGACAACCUACCAAAGGAAUCUCUGCAACUUGAAACCCAGUAGGUGAAGUAAGUUUUGCAUCAUCGUCAAGGACUCCAAGUGAAUAAAGUACUUCAAGUGCUCGGAUCAUUGCUUCAGGUGGUGGAGAUGCUGGCCAAUCAAAGCCUAAGAUAUUAUCUAUGCCCAAGGCUUUUAACUGACAUUUCAGCAGCAUGGAAAAUUUAGCAUUUAGAAACUAUAGAUAAGAAUCUUAGAAGAGAAAAGCUCAUAGUUUCCAAGGAAACAAUAAAUCAUCACAAGCAGCACAGCAUUACUCUGCUUUCAGCCAGUAUCAGCUUGAGCAGCAUGAGAAACCUGCCCGAAGCAAUUCAAUCUAGCAUGCGAUUGUGAGAAUAUCAAACCAAGCAAUCCUUGCAACAAAUUACCUGAAUUACACAGGAGACAAGGUUUGAUCUCUGCAUCUCCGGGAUCCCCUCCGCAGGUAUCUCUUUCACAAAAUACUCUUCUGUGUAUAGCCUGCUUGCAGAAACCAAAAGUGAAUAUUAUAAAAAUUAGCUUCUGCCAUUAAAAAAAGGAGAUGGAUGGUGUGUUUAAAUAUACAUGCAUUUAAAGAGAUCUCAAUGAUACAAUAAUAGCUUCAAACAGCUCUCAAUCAUUGUCCAAAUUGUAAAACAAAUACAGAGUAUAAGAAACUCUGGGGAGAGGCCAGAUUACCCCAUGGCAAGGUAGAAGAAGAGACUCCAACAAAAUAUCAAGUAUAAGGAAUAUGAAGUAAUGAACCACUAACUGACAUCAGUGGUUAAUUCAGAUAAUGAUGUCUGAUAUCAUUAUGAAACACUAUCAUGAUGUACAUAAAACAGGAAAGGCAAGGUUUACUUUUAAGUAGGGAAAGAGUAACAGAAAAGUAUACUUCAUAGUAACAUUGAUCCUAAAGUUCAAGAGACAGAACAAAUAACAAAUCAUGACAACACGUUCAAUUUACAUAACUACAGAAGAAAAUGAUUAACAUUAAUAUAACUGCCUUUAAUUAACCACCUGUAACAUUUCCCCGGUCGAACUCUUCCAGCCCUACCAGCUCUUUGUCUAGCAGAUGCCUUUGAUAUUGGAGCCACUACCAGAUUUUCAAUAUCUGAGAUCUAUAACAUGACAAUAAGAUGCAACUAAUAUACCAGCAACUGAAACUAAUCCAAAGAUUACAUAAUUUAAACAUCAAAAGUAGCAAAGAAAAUACCGGAUUGUAGAACCGCUGUUUUGAGAAACCACUGUCAACAACAUAAACAAUUCCCUGAAAAGAUCAGAAGCAAGGGUGGAUCAGUGCACCACCUGUCAAUUAUAACAUAUUACAUCCAAGGGGUACAACUCUAAUUAGCAGUGAUGAUACCUCCAAGGUCAAUGAUGUCUCUGCAAUAUUUGUUGAUAUCACCACUUUCCUCUUCCCUCUAGGAGUGGGAGAAAACACUUGCUCCUAUUAUUAUCAAGGAAGCAGAAAGGUGAUGUCCGUAAAUAAGAAGUUUGAUGACGUUAACUCAAGGAAACCAGUUUAUCAAACCCAAAUACCUCAAUAUAUCACUAACCUGUUCCGCUCGAGAAAGUCCCGAGUAUAGAGGCAAAAUAAUCAAUCCUGAAAUGGAUGACAUAACAUCAUAAAAUGUUUUACUAAAUUCGUUAUCACUAAAAACUAUGCUUCAAGAUUAGCACAUUAUCUUUUACUUCAUACCUGAGGAGUUUUUUUUACUGGUUCGUGCUUCUUCAGUGAGCAACUGAAUGGUGGCAUCAAUAUCAUCUUGACCAGUAAGAAACACCAGGAUAUCACCCGGGGGUUCCUAAGCAACAAUUAGAAUGUAGAAAACAACUGUCAAUGAAAUACCACACAACAGUUCUGCUACUAUUAUAACAAAAGAUCCCCUCUCUAAAUGAAAAAAUCUAAUCAUUAUAAAAGAAAAUAAGAAAACGCUUCUUUUAAUAUCAGAAGGGUCAAAAUCUAUUAAGAAAAGGGUGUACAAAAGCAGCCUUAAAUCAAAUUUCACAACAAAAAAACAAUUACAUUUCAAAAUGAGCACAGUCUAAAGGCAAAGGAUGAAAGAGAGAUUCUCAAUAAAAUUGAAUAAAUUACAUAAAAAAUUAAUCUGCAGUUUAUUCAACAAGAAAACAAUGAAAAAAUUUAAAAUGCCCAAGAAUAAAACAUCUGUAAGACCUUCAUUUUAGCAUGCCUUAGAGAGGUCUACUUCCCCCCAAAACCCUUCUAUUACAGUUUAACUAAACGCAUAUUCAAUGGGACCAAUCUCUAAGAUUAGCCUUCCCUCCUAUUUCCCCAAAUCUCCCAAAACAGUUCAAAAGCUAGCACACUGAACAAAACCACACAAUGUCUCUGAAAUAAUACAAAAAAGAUUGCAAUUCAAGGUUUGAUCUCCUUACAGAGGCUGACAGAAAACAGUCCGCUCAUAGAGGUAAAAAAAUUAAAGAAAUGCCAAAUAAUAAAAUUUAAUGAACCUUAUCAUGAAUUAACAAAACCGUUGAAACAGCUGCCUGAACAUAAUCUGAGACAGGCUCCUCAACAUAGUGAAUUUGUACGUUAAAUCCUCUACCCUGAAAUACAAGCAGAUCCAGUGACACCACAGUUUUGUCAUUCCCAUUUCAUAUCAUAAAGCCAGAUAAGGGUAACUUCUAUCGAAAGAUACAGAAGUAGACUUCUAAAUUGCAAGAUUGGAAAAAUAGGACACAUACGAGAACAAAGCAGACAGAGAAAGUGAGAGAGAAAACAUAAUAAUGCCAGAAUGUCAUACCUCUACUGAAAGGAUUGCAGGCUCCAGUCUUGGUACCAACUCUACUCCUUCCAAUCCUCGACGGCCUUUUCUGGUACACAGCAAAUGGAAGAUUUGAAUAUGCUUUUAAGAUUAUGCUACAUAACAUCUAAUACUAAUGACAGUUCCUACAGAAAAAAAAUAAAAAUAAAAGAUUUUUCGAGUUUAGCUCCCAAAUUCCAUUAAAUAUAAAUACUGCAUGUUAACAGCAACUAAAAUCAGGAUACGAAAGAAUCAACAAUUAGAAGCCUAAAAGAUAACCUGGCAUGAAAGAAUGCAGACAUUGACUUUGCUUCUAUUGUAGCAGAUGAGAUAAUAAGACGCAGAUCAGACCGACAUCGUUGGAUCUGAAAUCACAAUAAUCAUUUAACAUUUAAAAAAAAAAAAAAGAAAGGAAGGAAGGAAAGAAGGAAGGCAAGGACAAAAAAAGAAAAAGAAGUACACAGACCCCAGCAAGACAAAAUUAAAAAGCUUUUUUCCUCAUAACAACACUUGUAUCAGCCAGCAGCUAAAAUUGAUACCUUUUUCAGGAGGCCCAGCAAAAUGUCCGUUGAAAUAGACCUUUCGUGAGCCUCAUCCACCAUUAUGACACUGCAACAGUUAAGAAUAUAGUAAUCAAUGGACCAGCAGGUGCACUAAAUGUCAAUAAAAGAGUGUUCUAGCUUUUCAAUUCCAAUAGCAUGGUGUUGCUUGUGCAGCGACCAAUGCCAGUGGCCUAUCACUCAUUAAUGAUAUACCAGGCAAAUUAUUCUUUAAAACUUGAGUUCCAGACAGCUUCACUUUUGAGGGAAAGAAAGGAUACGAUUCAACAGAAUUGAAGGCACUAAAAGAAUCCCUAGAACCACAACAAGUACCUGUAUUUCGUCAAAAGAGGAUCAUCCAUCAUUUCUCUGAGUAAGACCCCAUCCGUAAGAAAUUUUAUUGCAGUUAGAUCCUGCACUGCCAAAGAGGAUAUCCCAGCAUGCAUAACAAAAAUAAUCACACCAAAUAUGCUGAAUAGAAAUAGUAUAUUUGAAGACCAGAAAUCUUCAAUUGAACACAUGGUGGUAUGCUAAAACUACGAUGUACCAGUUGCAAUUAAAGGUAAGCAAAACAGAAGUAAGGACCUCAAAUAAGAACUCAGAUGUCUCACUUUAUUUGUAAAAUCUUCAAAUCGAAUUGUAUAGCCGACUUCCUCUCCAACCUUGACUCCCAUCUCUUCAGCCACCCUUGAAGCAACUGCCUGCGCAUUAGUAACAACUAAUAUCAGUAUUGGAUAUAUUAAACUAACUUAACAAUUUUGCAAGAACAGGCGGCAUUAGAUAUGAAAACCAAACUUAUGCAUUUGGAAUUUACAAAAAAAUCAGCAGAACCAAAAGAAUAUCACUGGUAUGUAAAUAAAACCAAAUUUUAGUUUGUCUUCCUCUCAGUCUAUAGGUUUUAUAAAGCCCUCAUGUUAGGCUAUUUAAAGGCAUGAACUAAAACAUACAGACAGUAUGGAUUAAAAAAAGGGAAGACAAGGCCAAAUAAAUUAAUUUAUCACCUGGACAGCCAGUCGUCUUGGCUGGGUGCAUGCAAUAACCCGCCCACCAUCUGCCCAACCUGCUUCUUUAAGGUACUGUAAUUUUAGCAGACAACAUUUACCAUUCAGUUUGAACAAUCUCAAGAAGUCAUGGCCAACAUCCACAAUAACAAACACUUCCAAAAACAACAAUGCAUAUAUAGAUGACACCUCCAAAGCAAGAAGCUCGAAAAUAGAUCACAGCCAACUUGGCCCAGUUAUUAGGUAAUCGUCAAUUCUGCUUUGUAUGAAGUUGAACAACGGCAAUGUCAUGGAUCAUUAAUGAAAAGCUGGAUAAACAUAAACCUAUCUCUGAGGGACAACAAAAUGCACACAAAGUUCUGUUUGGUUGUCAAUGAAGCUGGAAUGUUCACUUGUUUUUCAUUUCCCCUAAUUUGUUCAGAAACCAAAUAUAAACAGCACAGUUUCCAGACACACAAAGCUUGAAUGAAUUAACAAAAAUAAUCCAAUUAACAAUUAGUAUAAAGACACUAAAACCAACUGCAGAAAAGCAAUUCGUUUAAAUGUUCCCAGCCACAUCCAUCAAAAAGAGAAAAAAUAUAUAAAUAAACAAAUUAAAUAAGAAAUUAAUUAAGAAAAGAAAGACCUGAGGAAUCUGAGUGGUUUUGCCGCUACCAGUCUCACCAACAAUAAUAGUAGUAGCAUGAGUCUCCACCAAAUAAAGGAUAGCUGUACGGUACUUGUACACGGGCAAUCUCUGCCUCUGUUUCUCAAUACUCGCAUAACCAUAUCUAAAACAACAGAUACAUAUGCGUAUAAAAAAAAAUACAUAUAGAAACGUAUGCUUUUGAGUGCAUAACUUAGUGUGAGAUUAAUACCCGAUGGACGAAGCGGACGAGAGAGAGGACGACAAGAAAACGACACCGCCUUCUUCAUCGUCGAGGAGGCGAGGCUUCUCGGCGCCCGGUUUCCAGAACUGAGACAUCGCCGCUGUCUGUUUCGAGUGAGAUUUUCUUUUCGUUUUAGUAGAGAGAACAACGUUCAAACUGUUUGUACGGAGCACAAUGGACCGGAGCGGGUCGCUUGGCUGGUCUGAUUUUAGAUUGGAUCAUGGAUGGGUAAGUGGGCCGGAUUAUAUUUUAGUAAUAAUAAGCUUAGGUCCCUCAUUUUCGGAGUAAUCACAAUUACAAUCAUAUAUAUUUAUUUAUUUAUUUAUACAUUGCAUGCAUACACGUCCAUACUAUCGAAUUCCAUUAAAAAUCCGUUAUUAAAAUUAAUAAUUUAACUGUUAUACCCCUAGUUUAAGAACAAAAGCUUAUGACCUCAUGAUUUCCAGUAAGAAAUUAGUUUUUAGUUAAUUAGAACAAUUUUUGUCUUGACUUUGACAUCGACUUGGUCUUCAAAGAUAUUUUUUGGAAGUCUAAGAUUCCGGCCCUUACUUUUGUCUCUAGUUACUUGUCUUUGAACUUUCUGUUAAAUUGCAAGAAUCUUCUCCAAUUAACACGUCUUUAUAUUAGAAAUUUUCCAAAAGCGUCUUUGUAGACUUCUAAUUCAUUUUUUUUGAAGAUUAAAGUUGAUCCCCCACAUACGGUAUGAUAAAAUUUAUUAAUUAUAUAUAUAUAGGGAAAUUUUUUUAAUUCAUGAUUUGGAUGUACAGGAAAGUUUAAAAAAAUUUUAAAAUUAUGCCGUUUUAAAGUUUAAUUUUAUAAUGAUACUAAAUCCUACAGUUUUAUAAUUUUCUCAGAUUUUCCCACACUUUAUAUAUACAGUAGUUUUUUAGUUCAGAAUUUUAAAAUGUGAAAAAAAUCUACAAAAAUUUUAAACUAUAAAAUUUAAGAUGUUUAAAAAUCAAAAUGCUUAAACCGGAUGGUUUCGUGAAGUUUUCGGGCACUUUAAAAUUUAAAAUUUUAGAUUGUGUAUUUAUAUAUAUUUAUAUAGGGAUAAUUGUAAAUUGUCGUAUUCUUAUUUUGUAUAUUCAAAGUGUGAGUUCCUGGCUGUUGAACCCAGUCAAAAAGAUUUUCGAGAAUGGAUCGACGCCAACAUUCCUGGCAAUUGCAUACGCUGACUCCUCUAUUCCUCUACAAUAUAUAUUUAUUUAUAAACUACACCUAUUUAUUUGACACAUGCAUACAUAUUGAGAUAUCAAAAGUCGAAGUUAAUUAUGCAUAGCUAACAUAAUGAAUCGCUUCUUUUUUCUUGUGCUCAUUAUUGCCUCCGAACUUGUCUUUGUCUCCCCCGGAGUUGAAUCAGCAAGUACCAAUGUUAAUAUUGAAGAAGUUACGAAGAUCGGUGCAAUCGUCGACGCUAAUUCUCAAAUGGGGAAACAAGCGAUAACAGCCAUGAAAAUUGCAGUACAAAACUUCAACAGUGACUCAAGAAACCACAAGCUCUCCCUUCAAAUCCGAGACCAUAACAGAGACCCCUUCCAAGCUGCAACGGCAGGUUGAAUUAAUUAAUUGAUUAGUUAUUUACAUGCCCUUUAAUUUGAUUUAUAUACUAACUUAUAGCUAUGGUUUUUGCAGCGCAGGAGCUGAUUAACAAAGAGAAGGUGAAAGUGAUUGCUGGAAUGGAGACAUGGGAGGAAACAGCUGUAGUUGCUGAGAUUGCCAGCCGAGUUCAAGUUCCUAUUCUUUCAUUUGCUGCUCCUGCAGUAACACCGCUAUCAAUGUCACGUCGCUGGCCUUACUUGAUAAGAAUGGCUAGCAAUGAUUCCGAGCAAAUGAAAUGCAUUGCGGAUCUUGCUCGGAAAUACAAUUGGAGAAGGGUUGCAGCUAUAUAUGAAGAUAAUGUCUAUGGUGGUGAUUCUGGGAAGUUAGCUCUUUUAGCCGAGGCUCUUCAGAACGUUAGCAGCUCGGAGAUUCAGUCUCGUUUGGUUCUUCCACCAAUUUCUUCUAUAUCUGAUCCAAAAGAAGCUGUUCGAGGAGAGCUAAAAAAGGUACAAGACAAACAGUCUAGGGUUUUCAUUGUACUUCAAGCAUCAUUAGACAUGACCAUACAUUUGUUUACAGAAGCAAAUAGGAUGGGGCUUGUGGGAAAAGACUCAGUGUGGAUAGUCACAAACACUGUUGCAAAUGCCUUAGACUCGCUAAACACAACUGUCAUUUCCUCUAUGGAAGGCACCUUAGGAAUCAAGAGCUAUUAUUCUGAUGACAGUAGUCCUUAUAAAGAGUUUUCUGCCCUGUUUCGACGAAAUUUCACAAGCGAAUACCCAGAAGAAGACCACUUUCACCCAAGUAUUCAUGCUCUAAGAGCACACGAUAGUAUUAAAAUCAUUACAGAAGCCAUCGGGAGAUUGAAUUAUAACAUUAGUAGCCCGGAAAUGUUGUUGCGGCAAAUGUUAUCAAGUGAUUUCUCAGGUUUGAGUGGGAAAAUUCGCUUUAAAGAUGGUGAAUUAUUGAAUGCUGACACAUUGAGGAUUGUUAAUGUGGUUGGAAAGAAGUACAAAGAGCUGGACUUUUGGUUGCCCAAUUUUGGGUUCUCGAAGACGAGUAGUAAACAUAAUGUUGGUGAUAUCAGCAGUAAUAUUGCAGCGGAAGGUUUCACUGGUCCAGUUAUUUGGCCCGGGAACCUGAUCAACCGAAACCCAAAAGGUUGGGCCAUGCCUAGUAAUCAAGAGCCUAUGAGAAUUGGAGUUCCGACUAGAACUUUUUUUGAGAAGUUUGUAGUGAUCAAGGAUGAUCCCUUAAAUGGAAACUCAAAUGAUAAAAAUCUGCGAUAUGAUGGUUUCAGCAUUGAACUUUUCCGUCUGGUGGUAGACCAUUUGAAUUAUGAUCUACCUUAUGAAUUUGUGCCGCAUGAUGGCGUUUACGAUGAUCUAAUUAAUGGUGUCUAUGACAAGGUAAAUUACUUUAAUUAUCAUGAUAAACUUUUGUUUAAAAAAAAAAAAAAGAUUAUGCUUAGUUAUCGAAUGAUGCAUGAUAUAUAACUGUUUAGAUUAUGCUUAGUUAUCGAAUGAUGCAUUUUAAUUAUCAUGAUAAACUUUUGUUUAAAAAAAAAAAAAAGAUUAUGCUUAGUUAUCGAAUGAUGCAUGAUAUAUAACUGUUUGUGGCCUUUUAAUUUUUUACGAAUUAAUUUUUAUAUAUACUAUAAAUUCGACUCGGUCCUCUAGGUAGGCGCACGACUUUAGAUUUUUGUUUUACUUGAAUGAAUAAGUCUCCCAUUUCUGAUAAGACAUUUGCUUGCCUUGUGAUUAAAAAUCAAUGGGAAGACUUAUGAUGCGGCGGUGGGCGACUUGACAAUUCUAGGCAAUAGAACAGAAUAUGUGGAAUUCACACAGCCGUAUGCUGAAUCGGGGUUCUCCAUGAUAGUUCCAGCCAAGCAAGAAGAGUCAACGUGGAUGUUCACGAAGCCUUUCACUUGGGAAAUGUGGAUGGUGACUGCUGCCAGCUUCAUCUAUACGAUGUUCAUAGUUUGGCUCUUGGAGCACCAAUCUAAUCCGGAAUUCAGAGGCACAUUGAAGGAUCAGAUUAGUAACAUACUUUGGUUCGCCUUUUCUACGAUCUUCUUUUCUCACAGUGAGUACCCAUUAAACUAAGGACUCCUAAUUUGUUUUAUAUCAUAUAGCACCCCGAUGAUGUGGACCAAUCGUCCUAUCAAAAUUGAAUUUAGCCAUGCACCAGUGAUAUCUUCUCCCCAAAUGCACUCUGACUCCAGUCCUUAGCUAGUUUCUGCUAUAUAUUUCUCUCUAUGUGGAGCCAAGGUGCUCAUUGGUCACAACAUUACUGUUAUCUACGCAUACACCAUAAUCCUGGACCUGGAUCCUGAGGAUUAAUUCUUACUCUUCAGGCAUAACUUUCAAAUAUUUGUUAUUUGGAGCUGCAGCUUUCUAUUAAUUUAAGCUUAGCAUAUUAUUGGUAAUUAAAGUGCCUUCCCUAGCUACCUAUGAGAAUAGAGUUCAAAAUUCCUCAAAUCUUUAGAUUUUUUCAUUGUUACCCUCAAAACCACAAAACGUAAUCUCUUCUAUUAAUUAAUUGCAAUUAAGUUAGUACAUAAAUAUACCAACAAACCAAUACAAUAUAAUGGGUUUAAUUCAUUUUGCAGGAGCGAAUAUUCAAAGCAACCUUACUCGAGUGGUGGUGGUUUUGUGGCUAUUUGUUGUGUUUAUCUUGACAUCAAGCUACACAGCCAGUCUGUCUUCACUGCUCACAGUCCGGAGACUGGAGCCCAAUGUUACCGAUAUUCAGUCUCUCAAGUCUGGCAAUUUGAAAGUUGGUUGUGUCGACGAUUCGUUUGUAAAAAAAUACCUGGAGGAGGUGCUUGGCUUCAGGUCAGGGAAUAUUGUCCCUUUUGGCAACACUGAAGCCAAUUAUAUACAAAAAUUUGAAAACAACACCAUAGAUUCCCUAUUUCUUGAACGUCCAUACGAGAAAGUUUUUCUUGAUAAGUACUGCAAGAAAUACACUGCAAUCAACACUUACAGAUUCGGAGGCUUGGGCUUUGUGAGUAAUAUAAUAUACAGUCACCUUUAAUUACUCGUUAGUUACCAAAUAUUUUAAGCUGAAGCGCUUCCGCAUGCAUCGAUCACAAAUUAUUCAUGUAUAUGUGUAUAUGCUGCAGGCAUUUCAAAGAGGGUCUCCUAUAGCCCUUGACAUUUCCAGGGCCAUUCUAGACUUAUCAGAAGACGGAAGGCUGAAAACAUUGGAGGAGGAAUGGUUUAAACCCUCAAGUGAGUGUUCCGCGGAUGAAAGAUAUAGUACCAGACCAGAAAACUUGACUCUGCACAGCUUCUGGGGACUCUACAUUGUAUAUGGUGCCACUUCUAUCUUUUGUUUUCUACUGUUUGUUAUUCGCUUGCUGAACAAUAGUUGGAGUCAUCAAGAAACAUAUCAAGGCAACAUAGCUGCCUGGAACAUUGCCGCUAGACUUGCAAGGUACAUUCAUAACAGGAAAGGAACCAUCAAUAAUCCAGCAAGAGUUUCAGCUUUAGGUCUAGCACCACCUGCACUUGAAUUAAGCUCAUCCAGGUGGGAAUAUAAAUUGAGUCCAACUCAUCCCCCAGAGAAUCUUCAGGUUGAACUCCAAAUGCAUGAAUGAACUCUCAACAUGUUAAAUUUAAUCAUACUAAUUAGUUUGUAUAGCUAAUUUGCAUCUAAGAUGCAAUCACUGUAGACAUCAUAUUUGUUGCAGUUAAUUUCUUUUGUGAUUUCAACAUUUCUAUAUCUUUCCCUUACUGAGGGAUUUCUUUGUAAUUCAAAAUUUCUUUAUGCAUACAAUUCAUUUGAGACGUUAGACAAUACACCACAAAAGUUUAACCAUUUUAUUCAAACAACGCCCUAGCCAUUGAAAACGAAUUUAACCACUGAAUAGAGGAAUGCCAAAUGUCAUUGUCUCUAAAAGGUUAGGGAUAGUAUAUAUUUAUCACUUUUUCAUUAUCUGUUUUCUUCGCUUAUAGUAUAACUCAUUGCCGAAAUAUCUGUAACAAAAGAUUAAGAAUCCGAAUAUUUUGAUGCAUAUACAGUUAAACCAUAAUCUUUCUAUGGUCAAAAUCACGCGUUUUAUAGUACUCAAUGCAGACUCACCCUUUGUUACAUAAAUGUAAAAGUCUUUACUUACUCCCUUACAUCGAGGUGAAAGCCCUUUUCAGUGCUGUUGGUGAUAUCACAACGGAUUGACUGGUGUAGAAAAACAGAGAUGUGCUGUUUGGCUUAAAGGAAAAUUUCAGAGAAAAUGAAAAAAUGAAUUUCCAGAAGAUUCAUUCCGUAUCAUCGUUUACAAAUCAAUGCAUAUAUAUACAACUACUCACACGUGACAAUAACUUGUAACUAACAAGCUUUCUCUAACUAACAAGUCAGCUAUAAUUUGUUACAUAACGAUUUUACGAGCUGGACAAUGACUUCUACUGUAACAACUGGAAAUGUAAAAGCCCUUACGCAUUAAAUGUUGACAUCAUCUUCGCGUAUAUGUUAAGUUCCAAAACGCAAUGAGCAAGGCAUUAGCGUUAUCGGUUCUCAAAUCAAUUGCACAAUGUUCCGUUCAAUCACUUCUGUCAAGUUAGUCUCAAGACCUUGGCCCCUGGUCAUGAUACUUAGCUCCGGCUUUUUCAUCCUCUACAGUGGAACCGAAGCUGCAGACGGAUACAAGCUAAUAAACAUUGGCGCAAUCGUUGAUGUUAAUUCCAGAAUUGGGAAAGAACAAAAAGUGGCGAUGGAAAUAGCAGCUGCAAAUUUUAACAACACCGCGCAGAAUUACAAGCUGUCCCUUCAUUUCCAGUACCCUGAAAAAGAUCCCCUUCAAGUUGGUUCCACUGGUAAAUAAGUAAAUCCUAUUAUAUUUAACUUCUCAAUUGGCUACUACGAUAAAACUUGCACUAAUAGAUCUUUAUGAAUUACGGUUGUGGGCAGCUGAAGCAAUGAUUAAGGAGAAGGAAGUGAAAGUGAUUGUUGGCAUGGAGACAUGGGGAGCAGCAACUAUGGUUGCUGAUAUUGGGAGCCGAGCUCAAGUUCCUGUCCUUUCAUUUGCAGAGCCUGCUAUAGCACCACCAUUGACAUCAACUCGCUGGCCUUUUUUGGUAAGAAUGGCUAACAGUAGUGCUGAACAAAUAACAUGCACAGCAGCUCUGGUUGGUUCUUACAAUUGGAGAAAGGUUAUAAUCAUUUACGAAGAUGAUGCAACUAAUGCAGAUACAGGGAACUUAGCUCUACUGUCAGAGGCUCUUCAAAUCUCUAAUUCGGAGAUUGAAUACAGAUUGGUUCUUCCACCAAUUUCUUAUUUGACUGAUCCAAAACAGUUUCUCCAAGAAAAACUGCUGAAGCUACUUAGAACAGAAUCUCGGGUUUUUAUUAUUCUUCAAUCAUCAUUAGCUAUGGGGAUUCAUCUCUUUAGGGAAGCAAAAGAGAUGGGACUUGUGGGGCCGGACUCAGUUUGGGUAAUUGCCUCAGACACCAUCACUAGUUUCAUCGACUCAUUCAAUACUUCUGUAAUCUUCCUCCAUGGAAGGUGCUCUCGGAAUCAAGACCCACUUUUCUCAAGAUAGCAGUUCUUACAAGAUUUUUGAAGAUCAGUUCAGAAGUUAUUUUCGAUCUGAAUAUCCAGAAGAUGACGUAUCUGAGCCAGGAAUUUAUGCCUUAAGGGCAUAUGAUAGCAUUACAGUAGUGGCAAAAAGCAUAGACGGGAUGACUAGUGACAAUAGCAGUUCAAAAAUCUCGCUAGGUUAUAUAUUAUCAAGUAAUUUCACUGGCUUAAGUGGACCAAUAAGUUUCAGAGGAGGCAAGCUGUUGAACUCUCCUAUAUUAAGGAUCAUAAACAUGGUUGGAAAGAAAUACAAAGAGAUUGACUUUUGGUUGCCUAAGUUUGGACUCUCCAAGACCCUUAAAAUGGAAGAGGACAAAAAUAGCAGCAAAGUUGGUGAUAUCAGAAACGGAUUGAUUGGUGCAGUGAUUUGGCCUGGGGACUUGAAGCGAGAUCCAAAAGGUCGAGCAAUGCCUACUGAUGCUAAGCCAUUGAUUAUUGGAGUUCCAGCGAGGACCACAUUUGACAAGUUUGUGAAGCUUAUAUCAAGUGAUAAUCCACAUAAGAUUAUAUAUGAUGGUUAUUGCAUUGAACUUUUCUAUAAGGUGCUGCAAGUUUUGAAAUAUGAUCUACCUUAUGAAUUCUCCGUCCAUAAUGGCACCUAUGAUGAUCUGGUUUAUCGUGUCUAUAACAAGGUAAACAAUACUCUGUUUCUCUCUUGUUUCAUAUAAUUAUCCGGGGCACUAACUUUAAUAAUUGCUUUAUACUAUAUGCGUAUAUCUUCGGUUAUCUGUAUAGAGAACUAUUUAUGAAGAGAGUUGUAUGAUCUUUCGUCUUUCAACAAGUCUUUGCAAAAGAGUCAACUAGUCUAAAAACAACGAAAUGUGAAAGUCUUCACAGGAAAUAAAUACUCGCCUUGAUUUGUUUGAUUUGACCUUUGGGCUCUUACGUGUGUGUUGGAUCCCAAAAAUUUUCCAUUUCUCUUCUUUGACUUGGACUGCGUCCUCCUGUGAGUCUUUGUGGGGGAGAAUUGCGUGGCAUAUACCUAUUUCCUCUAAAAUACCCAAUAUAUGUUUUAAAUUAUAACACUCUUAAAUUUUACACAUAUAUAUUUAUAAAAAUUAGAAAAAGUAUAAAAAUAACCACAACUAAAUCUUUAUAAAACUGAACUUAUAUUCUCAAAGUCGGGUAAAUAGUCGAUAAUAUUCGACUUCAAUCAAACCAUACACAAUUAGUAAUUCAGUAUAAAUUCUUGACUUUUUCAUGUUAGUUGCGUAAAUAGUCGAGAAUACUCGACUUCAAUUGAAAUAAAAAAUUAUUUGGAAAAUUCUCGACUUUUUCAAGUAAGUCGAGUAAAGAGUCAAGAAUACUCGACCUUAAUUUAACCUUGCCCAACAUUAAAAAAUUCUAGACUUUUCAUUGAAGUUCGGUAACUGAUCGAGAAUACUCGACUUAAAUUGAAAUGAGAAAUUUCCUUUUAAUUAGUCAGGUAAAAAGUUGAGUAUACUCGACUUUGGUUAUGUUAUUAUGUAGAAGUCAUGAGAGAGGGAGAAAAUGUAAAUAGAUGGUCUUUUUAAGUUAUUUUUAACUUUUUACUCUUUCAUGAGGUAUAUGUAUGUAAUGGAGUAUAGAGUUUAUAUUUAAGGACAAAUAGGGCAUAUUAAAAUUAAAAAAAAAAACCCGUCUUUCUAAGACAAAAGCAGAUUACUCUGAAGACUAAAACAAAUGACUUGCUUGAGGUUGCGGAUUCUUACUAAUUUUUUUCUUUUAAAAGUUUGUUUCCUAUAUAGACUGGGACUUAUGGUAUCCAUGACUAAUGGAUAGAACGCAGAAACUGAAACUAGGAAAAAUCAUACAUGCAUGUAAUAUUUCCUUGCGGUUUAUAAUUUGGGCUCAAAACCUAUGUUACAAAUCUAGUAAAGGCAUAUCAAAUCCAAAAUGUCAUUUUGAUAUCCACCAAUGAAACAUACUUUGAUUAUAUUACAGUAGACUUUUGGAAUACUCUUAACAGGAUUAUGAUGCCGCUAUUGGUGAUAUCACUAUACUGGUGAAUAGAACAAGAUUUGUGGAAUUUUCUCAGCCAUAUACCGAAUCAGGAUUGUCUAUGGUAGUUCCAGCUAAAGCUGAACAAUCACCUUGGAUAUUCAUUAAGCCUUUCACCUGGGGAAUGUGGAUAGUAACUGGUGCCAUUUUGAUCUACACAAUGUCCGUAGUUUGGUUCUUGGAGCACAGAUGGAAUCCAGAAUUUAAUGGUCCAUGGAAUAUUCAGAUCGGCACCGCUCUUUGGUUCACUUUUUCUUCACUUUUCUUUGCUCAUAGUAAGUAUCUCUCUCUUUUUCUACCUUUUGAUAGGCUUACUGCUAGUGUUGAUCAUGCAAGCAUUAUUAUAGAAAUUGCUCAGGCCGAAAAUGUUAAUGAGUUCACCUAAUUAAAAUUAAUGUGUCAUUUCGAAAUUUUCAGGGGAGAGAAUUUAUAGCAAUCUCACUCGAUUGGUGGUUGUGGUGUGGCUUUUUGUCGUGUUAAUCUUAAACUCAAGCUACACUGCUAGUCUUUCAUCAAUGCUCACAGUACAAAGGCUGAAACCAAAUGUGACAGAUAUUGGGUGGCUAAAAGCAUCCAAUUUGAAUGUUGGGUUUGAUGGUGAUUCAUUCGUGAGGAACUACCUGGAGAAUGUGCUUGGAUUCAAACCAGAGAACAUCUUGAAAGUUGACCACGAAUACAAAUAUAUAACGGAUUUUGAAAGCAACCGCAUAGCUGCUGCCUUUCUUGAACUCUCAUAUGAAAGAGCAUUUUUAUCCCAGCACUGCAAGGAAUACACUGCCACCAUACCCACAUACAGAUUUGGAGGAUUUGCCUUCGUGAGUUGCUAUUUGAAUCUUUUCUACAUUUUACGGAACCAAUACAAUACUAAUUACUUGUGAAAUUCAUAUCCAGGUAUUCCAAAAGGGCUCUCCAUUGGCAGCUGACUUUUCUGAAGCCAUUCUAAAGCUGUCAGAGAAUGGAGAGCUCAGGUAACUAGAAGAAAAGUGGUUUGCUCCAUCACCGGAGUGCUCUGGCUCUGCGGAAGUAAAUAACAACAAAACUGAAUGCUUGAGCCUCCAAGAUUUCUGGGGUCUCUUCCUGAUAUCUGGUACCACUUCUACUAUUUGUGCUCUUGUAUUUCUGGUUAGGAAUUAUACAAGUCGUCAAGAUGCAAGCGAAGGCAAUAUAACUUCAAGUGGGAGGAGCAUUUGGAGCAAGAUGAUUGGAUUUGCAAAAUACAUUUAUGCCAGAAGAGAGAGAAAAUUUCCAGCAAGAGCUUCAGCACUUGAUCAAAAUCCUGAUGUAGACAAACGAAGCUCUUCAAAAAUGGAAUGUGGAAGUCCUUCUGACACUCCAGAUGACACUCCAGAUGGAUCCAUCUCAUGUUGAAUUCAUACGGUAUAUCCCAGAUUGUCCUUGCUCUUCCUUAACCAGCAAUAAAAACUAAUUGAAUAGCAAGCGAGUGACCAAUUCUUCUGCUUGCUUGUAAGUGCUAGGAACUUGUCCAUCUUGAUUAACGAGCUAAUCUUGCAAGUUUUACUUCUAAUAAGAUAAUUAGAUUUUGAAUGAAGGAUCAAACAUCGAUUCCAAUCACAAGUUAAGUCUUUUUUUCCUUUUUUCUUUUAAUAUUAUUUUUUAAUUUUUCCUUGGGUCAACUUAUAUACCAAAGUUUGCUUAGGUUCCAAGUUCUAUAACUGCAAUAUUCUAAGUUCUGGAUAACAAAAUACCUAGACAUGAUCCUAACAAUUGCAAUAUCUCACUCUCACACGCAAUGUGCAUAUCAUAUUUUGAUAUGUGACAAGUUUGAUGACAGAAUGACUAAGUCAAUUAAUCAUAUUUCCGCAAAUUGUUUUAAUACGAUAAUAACAGAAGGAUAAAGGCGUUACUUAGGUACUGCUGCAAUCACAGAAAACCCUAAGAUAUCUUGCGCUAUAUUUAUUUUUAUAAAUUUUUUAGACCUAGGUUCCUUUUCCUUGUCUCCUUGUUUAUCAUCCUUUUCUGUGCACCUGAAGCUGCUGCUGAUUGCUCAUAAACGUUGGCGCAAUAGUUGAUCUUAAUUCCCGUGGUGGAAAAGAAGAAAAAGUGGCCAUCGAAAUGGCUGCUCAAAAUUUUAACAGUACAUCUAAAAAUUACAAGCUAUCCCUUCAUUUCUGGGAUCCUGGAAAAGACCACCUCCGAGCUGCUUCUGCAGGUACUUAGUGAAUAGAACGGGAUUUGUGGACUUUACUCAUUCAUAUACAGAUUCAGGAUUGUCUGUGGUAGUUCCAGCUAAAGCUGAAAAAUCAGCUUGGAUGUUCAUUAAGCCUUUCACCUGGGCAAUGUGUAUAGUAACUGGUGCCGUUUUGAUCUACACAAUGUCCAUUGAGCCUUUCACCUGGGGAAUGUGUAUAGUAACUGGUGCCGUUUUGAUCUACACAAUGUCCAAAUUUUGGUUCUUGUAGCACAGACGGAAUCCAGAAUUGAAUGGUCCAUGGAAUAUUCAGAUUGGGACCUCUUUUGGGAAAUUUGUGAAGGUGAAAUUCAGUGACAAUCCCUAUGAAAAUGAAUAUGAUGGUUUUUGCAUUGAGCUUUACUAUGAGGUGCUAGACGAAUUAGACUAUGCACUACCUUACGAAUUUGUUCCUUAUAGUGGCUCCUAUAAUGGAUCUCGUUUAUCAUGUUUAUAAAGACUUUUAUCUCUUACUUCCAUACGAAAAGUCUUUUUGUUCAUAACUAUGCAGUUCAUAGAUAUAAACAAUUCUUUCAAAUGUAUCUGCUCGUUGUGUCAAAUUGAUCCCAUUAAGCCAGCAGCUCCAGUUUGUAUACAUCAAGUGUAAUUAAGAUGCAUAAAUCAAUUUAAAAAUUAAAGAGUCAACUGGCAUGUAAAGGCAUUUCAAUUUUAUUCUUUUUUUUACAAUUAAUGAUGCGUAUAAGACAUGAAGAAAAUUUCUUGCGGAAUUACGAUUCUGUUGUGGGAGAUGCCACCAUACUAGCUGAUAGAGCAAAAAUUGUGGAGUUUACUCAACCAUGUGCUGAGUCAAGAUUGUCAAUGAUAGUUCCAGCAAAGACUGAAGAGUCAGCAUGGAGAUUCGUGAAGCCUUGCACCUGGGAAAUGUGGGUGGUGACUGAUGCCAUCUUGGUCAACACAAGGUUUGUAGUUUGGUUCCCGGAGCACCAAAGAAAUUCAGAAUUCAAUGGCCCUCGGAAAGAUCAGAUUGGCACAGCUCUUUGGUUCAAUUUCUCUUCUAUUCUCUUUGCAUACGGUAAGGAACAUGUCUUGCAUGUAAAUAUUUCCUUAUUUGUAAGUUAAAAUACCAGUUCAUAAUCAUGGUAAAUUGGAAACCCAUUUUCGGGGGGAGAAUUGACAGCAAUCUUACGCGACUGGUGGUUGUAGUGUGGCUUUUUGUUGUGUUGAUCCUAACCUCAAGCUACACAGCUAGUCCUUCUCCAAUGCUUACUGUGCAACCAUUGAGACCAAAUCCAAAAGUCGCUUGUGAUCGUGAUUCAUUUGUGAGGAAUUACUUGCAGAAUGUGCUUGAAUUCAAAUCAGAUAACAUUUUGGAAGUUUGGUAGUGACUACAACUAUCAAGGAGAAUUUGGAAGCAACCACAUUGCUGGACCCCCAUAUGAGAAAGUUUUUGUAUCACAAUACUGCAGGAUAUACGCUGCCACAACACCCACCUACGGAUUUGGAGGACUAGGCUUUUUGAGUAUUGAGUUGUUAUUUAAACUUUUACAGGGAUUUCCCAUUUUAUUGAAUAUCAAUCAUCCUAUCAAAUAUCAAUCGUAGUUGACUUUUGCCGUCCAUGCAGGCAUUUCAAAAAGGCUCACCAAUAGCAGCUGACUUUUCUGAAGCCAUUCUGAAACUAUCAGAGAAUAAGAAGCUCAAGUCGUUGGAAUAUAAUGGUUUGCUCCCUCACCAGAUUGCUCAGUCAAUAUAACCAACAAUGAAACCGAGAAACUUGAGCCUCCCUAGCUUCCUGAUGUCAGGUGCCAACUCUACAUUCGUUCUCUCAUAUGUCUCUUUCAAUUACUAAAGAAUUAUAGGCUUCAUCAAAAUUCAAGCCAAGAAAACAUAACUCCAAACGGAAGGGGCAUUUGAAGCAAAGCAGUUAGACUCGCAAAAUCCUUUUUUAAUAGAGAAGGAAUUAGAACCCCCGGGAGAGCUUUAUCGUUUGCUCGGACUCCUGAUGUACAUGAGUGGAGCUCUUUCGAGAUGGGAAUAUGUUGAUCCUUCCAAUGCUUCGGAUAAUCUUCAUCAAUCCUCAGAGGACACUACGGGAAUGCAGUGUUUCCCAGAUUGAGUAACUAGAGCUAUAAUCUAGUGCUAUCAUCAAUUUGACAUGAGGUCUGUAUUACUCUAUCUCCAAAUUGCUCAGGACAAUGUCAUAAUUAAUGAUACAACCAUAAACUCAUACUAAAUAAAUUGGCUUGAUAUUAAUUCAUUAGUCGAAAAAAAAAUAUAAAUUAAUAAACAAAAGUCACGUGGACUAAGAAAUAUUUAAUUCAAUCAAUUUAAUCAUGUCACAUAAAUUUGUUUAAGAGUUUGUAUCUAUAUUAUUACAACAAUUAAUUGAUUCUUGAGAAAGAAAAUAAAAAAAAUCCUACCCUUUUAUUUAUUAGCAGCCAUUCACUGUAUAAUUAGGUGUUAUAUCUUAAAAACCACAAUUGUUGUAAAAAAAAUUUAUAACUAUAAAAUAAAAAUUAAUAGUAUAUAAUCAACAUAAUUUUAAAUAAUAAUUUUAACGAAGUUAAUGAAGAUGUAAUAAAUUUUUCAUUAUAAAAAUAUAAAAUCAAUUAACUUAAUUUUUAAACUACACUAACUAAUAUUUAUUAAACACUGAUAUUGUAAAUUUUAAUCUCAAUCUAAAAAAAAACAAGACCUAUGCGUUGGAUGAAACCAUCAGGUUGCCUCUAUCAUGGAUGCUGCCGUAACCUGAUUUCAGUGUAUUCCUGUUUGAGACUAGGUAUCUCGAUAACGUUCUUUCGUAUCCCCGUAAAACGUUCUCUCAGUACUUUUCAGACUUCGUAAAGCACAGCCAUACCACAAGCCCAAUUCCCAAUCGCACAUUACAACAAUUAGUUGAUUGCCAGAGAAAAAGUACCUCCAAAUGUUUUACUCGAAUAACAGCCCCAAGUAUGUCGUAAACACUUUCACAGGGUUAACACAAAUCAAAUGAACUAGGAAAAAUCCUACAAAUGGUCAGACAAGUGAAAAUGUCUGCACAUCAAUAUUAAUGUGCAUACACCACUAAACAAGGAUGCAAAUAGAAAAGUUCCUGAAUCCGUCCCGUAAUAGUGGCUUUGAUCAUGAAAUCUGAGAACGUUUGGAAACUCAAAGCCCUGACCUUCAAACAAUACGGUUAAUCAAGCAGAGGGGGGGAUAAAAUUGCUGAUGUUAGUGCAUGAUUAAUCUGAAGUCUCAUUAUCUUCAUCCAUCAAUCAAAACUUGUUCGAACAGAAAAGAAUUACAAUACAUCCAAUGACAUCUAUUUGUAUUCUUCGGGGACAUCUAUUCGUAUUCUUCAGGUACACACGAUCAUGCAUCAAAGCUACCGAUAGCCUCUUCCUCUUCCACGUGCACCCCAACCCCUGCCCCUUCCUCUUAUACCUCCCCUUCCACCACGUGAUAUACCUUCCAAAGCUCUAUUAACAAGCUGGUUUUGCAAACCUCCAGAUCCGCGGCCCUUUUUUGAGGCUGUAUUG
rnacentral:lncRNA from 1 species